AUUGAACGCUGGCGGCAUGCUUUACACAUGCAAGUCGAACGGCAGCGCUGGCUUCGGCCUGGCGGCGAGUGGCGAACGGGUGAGUAAUGCAUCGGAACGUGCCCAGUAGUGGGGGAUAGCCCGGCGAAAGCCGGAUUAAUACCGCAUACGACCUGAGGGUGAAAGCGGGGGACCGAAAGGCCUCGCGCUAUUGGAGCGGCCGAUGUCGGAUUAGCUAGUUGGUGGGGUAAAGGCUUACCAAGGCGACGAUCCGUAGCUGGUCUGAGAGGACGACCAGCCACACUGGGACUGAGACACGGCCCAGACUCCUACGGGAGGCAGCAGUGGGGAAUUUUGGACAAUGGGGGCAACCCUGAUCCAGCCAUGCCGCGUGCGGGAAGAAGGCCUUCGGGUUGUAAACCGCUUUUGUUCGGGAAGAAAUCCUCUGGGCUAAUACCCCGGGGGGAUGACGGUACCGGAAGAAUAAGCACCGGCUAACUACGUG
rnacentral:rRNA from 1 species